rnacentral:rRNA from 1 species
AUUGAACGCUAGCGGGAUGCCUUACACAUGCAAGUCGAACGGAGUGGCGAACGGGUGAGUAAUGUAUCGGAACGUGCCCAGUAGAGGGGGAUAAAUAGGGGAAAGGGAAGCUAAUACCGCAUACUAUGGAAGGGGACGAUAUGGGAUUAGCUAGUUGGUGGGGGAACGGCUCACCAAGGCAACGAUCCGUAGCUGGUUUGAGAGGACGACCAGCCACACUGGUACUUAGACACGGCCCAGACUCCUACGGGAGGCAGCAGUGGGGAAUUUUGGACAAUGGGGGAAACCCUGAUCCAGCCAUCCCGCGUGUGCGAUGAAGGCCUUCGGGUUGUAAAGCACUUUUGGCAGGAAAGCGGUACCUGCAGAAUAAGCACCGGCUAACUACGUGCCAGCCGCCGCGGUAAUUC